rnacentral:tRNA from 1 species
UUCCCUAUAGCUCAAACAGUAAAGAAUCAGCCUGGAAUGCAGGAGACCCUGGUUCAAUCAAGGUGGGGAAG